UACGUAGGUGGCAAGCGUUAUCCGGAAUUAUUGGGCGUAAAGCGCGCGCAGGUGGUUUCUUAAGUCUGAUGUGAAAGCCCACGGCUCAACCGUGGAGGGUCAUUGGAAACUGGGAGACUUGAGUGCAGAAGAGGAAAGUGGAAUUCCAUGUGUAGCGGUGAAAUGCGUAGAGAUAUGGAGGAACACCAGUGGCGAAGGCGACUUUCUGGUCCGUAACUGACACUGAGGCGCGAAAGCGUGGGGAGCAAACAGG
rnacentral:rRNA from 1 species